CCUACGGGAGGCAGCAGUAGGGAAUCUUCCGCAAUGGACGAAAGUCUGACGGAGCAACGCCGCGUGAGUGAUGAAGGUUUUCGGGUCGUAAAGCUCUGUUGUUAGGGAAGAACAAGUACCGGAGUAACUGCCGGUACCUUGACGGUACCUAACCAGAAAGCCACGGCUAACUACGUGCCAGCAGCCGCGGUAAU
rnacentral:rRNA from 1 species